rnacentral:rRNA from 1 species
AAGCGGAGGAAAAGAAACUAACAAGGAUUCCCCUAGUAACGGCGAGUGAAGCGGGAACAGCUCAAAUUUUAAAUCUGGCUGCUUCGCAGUCCGAGUUGUAAUUUGAAGGCGUCUGUCGCAUGUGAGACGAUGGCACAAGUCCUCUGGAACGUGGCAUCGUAGAGGGUGAGAAUCCCGUCUCUGGUCGUUGUCUUGCAGGCACACGGCAGGCGAUCCGAAGAGUCGAGUUGUUUGGGAUUGCAGCUCCAAAUGGGUGGUAAACUCCAUCUAAGGCUAAAUAUUGGCGAGAGACCGAUAGCGAACAAGUACCGUGAGGGAAAGAUGAAAAGAACUUUGAAAAGAGAGUAAAACAGUACGUGAAAUUGUUGAAAGGGAAACGCUUGAAGUCAGUCGUGCCGGCGGGGAUUCAGCGAACUUCGCGGAGUGAGCGUAUUUCCUCGCAUGGCAGGUCAGCGUCAGUUUUGCGCGUCGUGAAAGGGCUCGGGUAAGGUGACUCUCUUCGGGGAGUGUUAUAGGCCUGAGCAGAUGCGAUGCGCGGGACUGAGGAUUGCAGCGGACACCCUUCGGGGCGCGGCGACCGAUCCCUGCUCUGUCACCUUCGUCCGAUAGCGUGCUAACGGUCGGGGGAGCGGCGGUUGCACCGGGUUGGCAAGCCGGCGGCUNCGCUAAGGAUGCUGGCGUAAUGGCUUUAAACGACC